rnacentral:sRNA from 1 species
UGGAACGUGUGGCACGCACUUAGUACUUUUUGUGCUAUUUACAAUCCUUCUUUAUCCUUACCCCUGAUGAUCCCAUUUCACAAGAUGAACUGCAAAAUAAGAAAUUUGACUUCAGCAAAUUGGAUACUUAUGACAUCUUAAACAGAGCUAGGUAUUUUAUUGAUCGUGGUGAUUUAAUGACGGCGUUGAAAUACAUGAACCUUCUGCAAGGUGCUCCUCGGAAAAUAGCUAGCGAUUGGUUAAAGGAAACUCGUUUACUGCUUGAAACACAAAAAGCUGCCAGUAAUUUUGUUAACUUAAAUUGUACUACGAUUAUAUUUUAAUUUAAAAAAAACCAACAAUUAGAAUCAAAGCAGAUAAUAAUCACAAACCAAAUCCAGAAAAUCAUUUAAAUUUCUCAAAUUUCAUAGUUUUCG